UUUAAGUGCAGUUGUGGGUUUCCGUAUUCAACCUUCUGUCUUAUUUGAAAUUUUAUUAGUAGUAUCUUUAUUGUUAUUAGAUGAUAAAGACAUGAAUAAUACUUUAUGCCUGACUUAUUAUUUUUAUUUUUUGUCAUAAACUUGUUAAAUAAAACAGACGAUACUAAAAUCGCACUUAAA
rnacentral:pre_miRNA from 1 species